UCCUGAGCAGAACACAUUGAAACACUGACUGGUAGAAUUUACUGGCCAAGAAAUAUAUGAGACCCAUACAGUGCUCGUAUGUAUAGAUUACAGACCUAGGGAUACUUUUAGCAGAGUGUAUUUGUUCUGUCUAAAUUGGUCAUUGUAGAUAAAUGUGCAAUAUGCACUGCAGUUGCACUAAAGAACAGAAGGUAUUUACAGAGACUUUCCUAUGCUAACUUGUCCUAUAUUCAGCCAUCAAGAUUCUGAAACCAAACACAUCCUGGUGAAGAAAAGGAACCAAAUUUAGCUCCAGAUAUACAAAGGUGACUGUAAAACAGAACCAGUCUCUGAAGAGCUGACAGAUACCCAAAUGGAGAAAUGGAAGUAUCCUCAUAUAGAUUGUGGUGGUGAAUGCAUAAGUAUGU